GAAUCGAUUUCUGCGUCAAUUGUUGUACAUUUAAUUUUUUUUUCAGGAGAGGAAACUGUGCAGGAAACAAGACUGUAAAUGAUCCAGCUUCUGAUUCUACAUAUAUUAUCCAUCUUUGGCAGUUUCCCUGCCCUAGACUCAGAUGAAGGGCUUUUCAACACCAUUCUAAGCACUGAAUCUAACCACCCCAACUUUCACAUAUACCCUGUUUUUUUAAACCUCAAGAAUAUUUUGGUUUCUCAUGGAAAUGAAAUGGAUGGACGAAAGGCAAAGAAGAACCCUUGG
rnacentral:lncRNA from 1 species